rnacentral:lncRNA from 1 species
CAUUAUACAACGGAGGUCUGCUAUCUCUAAUAGCAUUAGAAUGUGCUAAACAGUAAAGUAUGCUUUUUCUCUUUUGGUCCAGGGUGGUAAAUCUCGUGAAAAGGUGGUGAAGCUUUUGGCUUCUACAACUCCAGAAGAGAUCUUGGAGAAAUUAAAAAAGGAAGCCAAAAAAACAUAAAAGCAAGAAAUGAGGCCGGGCGCAGUGGCUCAUGCCUCCCUAAAGCAGUAACUAUAGAAGAAAGAAUUACCCUAAUUGUUUCAGGCCAAUUAAGGCCCAUCCUAGAGGUGGAAAUGGGGUCAAUUAUAUCAACCUCUAGAAUUUUAGAAACGAGCACAUCUAAGCAUAUGGAUACUCUCUUACCUUACAAAGUAAAAGCAUUUUCUAUUUUAAAAUUUUUAUUUCUGUGUAAAACAAAGAAUUCCUAGAGGUCAAAUAAUAUACCAAACUUAAAGCACUAUUAAGUCAUGAAACAAAGAAGAUUCUGAGGUAGAAGUCAAGCAAUAUAAUCCACAGUUUCAGGUAUUCCCAGCAACCAUCGCAUUUCGCAAGUAAGAUCUAUUUUUUUUAAAGUCUCAACUUCCAAAAAAUCAAUAAUCCAUUCUGUAAAAUCAGAUGUAAAACUAUGACCAACAGAAGACACCCAAACUUUUCUCAUGGU